UGCCCAGCUGCUCCUUUCCCUACCUCCUCGUGGUACUGACCGGGGUACGAGUAACCUGAGGGAAGAUCGGGUAACCAAUACUGACAGGGAAGG
rnacentral:ribozyme from 1 species